rnacentral:rRNA from 1 species
UACGUAGGUGGCAAGCGUUGUCCGGAUUUACUGGGCGUAAAGGAUGCGUAGGCGGAUUUUUGAGUCAGAUGUGAAAACCCCGGGCUCAACUUGGGGACUGCAUUUGAAACUGGAAGUCUAGAGUGCGGGAGAGGAAAGUGGAAUUCCUAGUGUAGCGGUGAAAUGCGUAGAGAUUAGGAAGAACACCAGUGGCGAAGGCGACUUUCUGGACUGUAACUGACACUGAGGCAUGAAAGCGUGGGGAGCAAAC